rnacentral:misc_RNA from 1 species
AACGCACGAGACCUGCGGACCUGCGGAAGGAUCAUUACAUGGCGGAGAAGGUGGGCAACCUGGCCAACAUCCAGGUUGUGAUGCCUUCACGCUCUUCCACCCUUGUCUAUUUGCACCUUCUGUCGUUCCCUCGGCGGGUUUCGACCCGCCGGCGGCAACAUUGAAAAACCCUUUUUGCAGUUAGCAUUCAAUUCUUCUGAUCAAAUAUUAAAUCAUUACAACUUUCAACAAUGGAUCUCU